UCCAGACUCCUACGGGAGGCAGCAGUGGGGAAUAUUGCACAAUGGGGGAAACCCUGAUGCAGCAACGCCGCGUGAGUGAGGAAGUAUUUCGGUAUGUAAAGCUCUUUCAGCAGGGAAUAGAAAAGAAGGUACCUGAAAAAGAAGCCCCGGCUAACUCCGUGCCAGCAGCCGCGGUAAUACGGAGGAUGCGAGCGUUAUCCGGAUUUAUUGGGUUUAAAGGGUGCGCAGGCGGAUUUUUAAGUCAGCGGUAAAGGCGGGGGGCUAACCCCGAGCCAGCCGUUGAAACUGGGGGUCUAGAGUGUGGGAGAGGUAGGCGGAAUGCGUGGUGUAGCGGUGAAAUGCAUAGAUAUCACGCAGAACCCCGAUUGCGAAGGCAGCAUGCCGGUGCACAACUGACGCUCAGGCCCGAAAGCGUGGGUAUCGAACAGGAUUAGAUACCCCAGUAAA
rnacentral:rRNA from 1 species